CUUCCCAUGAUCUCAAUGCUUGAGAUUUUUUUGGCACAAAAAGAACUUGCUAACAGCCUUAGGUGUAUGGAGAUGGGGAUGCCCAACCCUUUGGGCAUGGAAUAGAGAGGAGAGGGAGAAAAGGCAUGGACACAUGGAGAGGAGAUUGAAAAUCAUAUUUUCUAUCACUUCUUCUCUCAUGAACCCAAAAAGAAGGCUCUUAAAUAGAACCCUUUCAGGGAGUCCAAAUCAAGACCCAAUCG
rnacentral:lncRNA from 1 species